rfam:Picea glauca, whole genome shotgun sequence.
AGGGAGCCUGAGAAAUGACUACCACAUCCAAGGCAGAAAGCAUGUGCGCAAAUUACCCAAUCCUGACAUGGGGAGGUAGUGACAAUAAAUAACAAUACUGGGCUCAUCGAGUUUGGUAAUUGGAAUGAGUAUAAUAUAAAUCUCUUAACGAGGAUCCAUUGGAGGGAAAUUAUGGUGCUAACAGCCAUGGUAAUUCCAGCUCCAAUAGCAUAUAUUUAAGUUGUUGCAGUUAAAAAUUUCGUAGUUGGAUCUUGGGUCGUAAAGGUUGGUCUGCCUAUUCAGUGUGCACCUGCCCUUUCGUCCCUUUUGUCGGCGGCAUGCUCCUGAACUUAAUUGGCUGGGUCGCAAUUCCGUCAUUGUUACUUUGAAAAAAAUAGAGUGCUCAAAGAAAGCUUAUGCUUUGAAUACAUUAGCAUGGAAUAAAGCGAUAGGAGUCUGGUCCUACUGUGUUAGACUUCGGGACUAGAGUAAUGAUUAAUAAGGACUGUUGGGGGCAUUCGUAUUUCAUUGUCAGAGGUGAAAUUCUUGGAUUUAUGAAAGAUGAACCACUACGAAAUCAUUUUCCAAGGAUGUAUUCAUUAAUCAAGAACGAAAGUUGGGGGCUCAAAGAUGAUCAUAUACCAUCCUAGUCUCAACCAUAAACGAUGCCAACUAGGGAUCAACGGAUAUUGCUCUAAGGAAUCUGCCAACACCUUCUGAGAAAUCAGAGUGUUUGGGUUCUGGGGGGAGUAUGGUCACAAGGAUGAAACUUAAAGGAAUUGUCGGAAGGGCACCACUAGGAGUGGAUCCUGCGGCUUAAUUUGACUCAACAUGGGAAAACUUACCAGGUCCAGACAUAGUAAGGAUUGAUAGAUUGAGAGCUCUUUCUUGAUUCUAUGGGUGGUGGUGCAUGGUUUUUCUUAGUUGGUGGAGCGAUUUGUCUGGUUAAUUUCGAUAAUGAACGAGACCUCAGCCUGCUAACUAGCUACGUGGAGGUUCCCCUUUGUGACCAACUUCUUAGAGGGACUAUGGUCGUUUAGGUCAUGGAAGUUUGAGGCAAUGAUAGGUUUUUGAUGCCCUUAGAUGUUUUGAGACACACACGCACUACACUGAUGUAGUCAACGAGUUUUUCUCCCUGGUUCAAGAGGAUCAUGAAACUAUUGCAUCGUGAUGGGGAUAAACCAUUGAAAUUAGUGGUCUUCAAUGAGGAAUUCCUAGUAAGCGUGUUUCAUCAUCUCAUGUUGACUAUGUCCAUGCCCUUUGUACACACUACUCGUCGCUCCUACUGAUUGAAUGAUCUGGUGAAGUGUUCGUAUCGUGUCAACGAGGGUGGUUCACCACCGAUGAUGUCAUGAGAAGUUCACUAAACCUUAUCAUUUAGAGGAAGGAUAAGUCGUAACAAGGUUACUAUAGGUGAACCUGUCAAAUAUUUAUGU